GGCCAAGGGUCAAAAUAAAAAAGGUGGAGACUUUUUUGGAAAACAUGGGAACUAAAAUCAAGGAUGAGGAACUUGAGGAACUCAUUACCCAACUACCAACUGAGGGUGAGACAGCAGUUGACCUGAAUGACUUAAUGGAUGCUGUCAGUUACAUCAAGGGAGAGGUGAUUGAUGUCCAGAACUUAGACAACUUUCUAGCAAUAGAAGGGAUUGAGCUCACAGAAGAAGAAAUGAAGGAGUUGAUGCCUCAUUUGACAUUUAACGGAAAUGGAAAGAUUAAUGUUAAUUCAAUAAUGGAGGGCCUGAAGAAGUUUAAACCAAAAGGAAUGGUGACUCUGCAUAAGUUGAAAACUGCAAAUGAUAUUAAAGACAGAGUCACUGGCCACAUGGCAGUUUCAGAAAUUAAACCAAAACUUAAGCUGAAUCCUCUAACAAAAGUACCCAUCUCCCACAAUAAAAGGGAUAGAGACUUACCAGGAUCUCUUCAAUGCCAAUUACAACACAAAGAAAAGAAGCUAAGUGCUUCACAAAUGGCAGCUUUCCAAGAUGCCUACAACUUCUUCUACAAGGACAAAACUGGCUAUAUUGAUUUCCAUGGACUGAUGUGCACUGUAGCUAAGCUGGGAAUGAAUCUAACCAAGCAUGAUGUCUAUAAUGAAUUGAAAUGUGCUGAUAUUGAUCGAGAUGGGAAGGUGAACUUCUCAGACUUUAUCAAGGUUCUAACAGAUAAGAAUCUCUUCCUCAAGGCAGUGGUUCCAGAAAAGGAGACCUGUUUAGAUUUAGCUGGCAACCCAGGAAUCCUAUUGUUUGAAAUCCUAUCAAGGCUUCUAGAGACUUCAGCCCUACCCAGAAAGUCUAUAAUAGAAAUAGUAAGCUAUUUCCAAAGAAAAUUCCAGCAUACUGGCCCAGGAAUGUUGUGGAGUCCCUACACUAUGGGCUAUGGAAAAAGGACACUUAAGCCAGACAUAUGCACACCUCCAAGCUCAAGCAUGGCUGCCUUUGCUAAUGCUGCCCGGAUUGCAAUAACGAAAGAAAAGGAUUUAUUUAAAUUUCUUGAAGAGCUCAAGAGAUGCAAUUCCGGUUCAGAUAGCCCAUAUUCAAAAAUACCCAUCUUUCCAUUGUUCCCUAAUGUGGAUGGGGUGGUGAUGGGAAAGCCAUUCAAAGACAUGCAGAAAUUAGAGAUGCUAAGAAUAAAGGAGCCUUUGCAUUUCUUUGAGGAUUAUUUUUUCCAUAAAAGAGACUGGAAAACACAGGCAGCAAAUAUAAAGUCUAUGGACCCUGCCUCAGGUUAUUCAAAUAACAUCCUCACCAUUGAUCAAAUGCUCAAGAAAAAGCAGACUUGUACAGUGGCCGAUGCAACUGCUAUUAAACAACAUGUGAAGAGAGCUACUGAUACCUAUAAUUUAGGAAUUGCCCUUGAACACCGAAAAGAAAUGCUAAACCUCUGGCAGAAGAUCCGAGGGGAUUUGAUUGGGAUAGACUCUAGAAAUGAGUCCUUUUAUGACACCUUUUCUACUUAUACAUGGUCCUGGAAUGUUUGCCAAGAAUUACUUUCUCCUAAGGACUUAAGGUUAUAUGAUGCCUAUGUGAAUAGAAAUUCCUCCCAUAACUGCAGAUCCUCUUCCUCAUCAGAUACCAGUGAAUGUGACACAGACUCAGGAAGAAAAAGAAAACGGAAAGGUUUAAAGGGAUUUCAACAAUGAAAUUUCUACAUUUUCUAAACAGCUCAUCACAAACUACUUUUUCAUAGUUAUCAAAAUUAUUGUUUCUUGCUUUUGUCUAAGUACAUUCUUAGAAGCUGGAAAUUUUGACAUCUUUUGGAUUCUGACCAGUAAAAAAGUUUAAGUCAU
rnacentral:sRNA from 1 species